rnacentral:lncRNA from 1 species
CCUCCAUGCCGGAUCUCCUCACAGCUGUAAAAGUCUUGACCGGCUCUACUGUGGAGAUUGCAGCAGCUUCUGUUGGUGAGACGGAUCUGGUGAAAGCUGUGCGACAGAUUGAAGAGGAGGUGCUGGAAUCUGUGGAAGUAACCCUAGUAGAGGAAGUAAAGGGAGAAGUGGUGACUCCUGCAGCAAUCGAGGAGGAGCUGAAGCCUGCAGAGGGUGAAGAAGUGGCUCCGCCUGCUGAAGAGGUGAUCGAAGAGGAGGCGUCAGCUCCUGCUGCAGCAGAAGAGGCAGAUGCACCUCCUCCUGAGGAAACUGCAGUCGCAGCAGAAGAGGCUAAAGAUCAGACUGAAGCUGCUGACGAAGAGGCUCCACCUGCUGAGGACAUUGCUGUCACUGCUGAACCUCCUCCAGUGGAGGAGGCAUCACCUGAUGAGGUGGCACCUGCUGCUCAGACAUCAGAGGAGGUAGCAGAAGCUCCGGCAGAGGAGGCACCGGAAGAAGCUCCUCCUGCAGAGGAGGCAGCAGAGGCAGUGGGUGAAGCUCCUCCUGCAGAAGCUCCUCCUGCAGAGGAGGCAGCAGAGGCAGUGGGUGAAGCUCCUCCUGCAGAAGCUCCUCCUGCAGAGGAGGCAGCAGCAGAAGUUCCUCCUGAAGAGGAGGCAGCAGAGGCAGUGGGUGAAGCUCCUCCUGCAGAGGAGGCAGUGGAUGAAGCUCCUCUUGCAGAAGCUCUUCCUGCAGAGGAGGCAGCGACUGAAGCUCCUUCUGCAGAGGAGGCAGCGGCAGAAGCUCCAUCAGUUGUUGAAACAGCUCAGCUGGCAGCAGCCUCCAGUGGCUCAGACCUGGAGGUUCUUUCAGCUCCAGCACACGAGGCGAAACAUUGCCACUCCUGCCAUUCUGCUCCUUCGGCGGCAGAAAAGGAGGCACCACCCGCUGCUGGGGGAGUGGAGCUAGUCUCUGUGGGAGCCGUGGAUAUUACACUUGAAGCCAAAGAGGCCGCGACACUGGUGGAAGGACAAACUACAGAGGCGUUGGCGGUGGUGACAGCCCGGUCAUGAUGUGACAGACAGCGUGCCUUCUACAACACUCGUCUAUCUGUCAAUCAAGCCAGGGCGACGGAUGGAAAAACAAAUGAGAGACAGAAAAGUAU